rnacentral:rRNA from 1 species
UAGUAACGGCGAGUGAAGCGGCAACAGCUCAAAUUUGAAAUCUGGCGCAAGCCCGAGUUGUAAUUUGUAGAGGAUGCUUCUGGGUAGCGACCGAUCUAAGUUCCUUGGAACAGGACGUCAUAGAGGGUGAGAAUCCCGUAUGUGACCGGCCCGCACCCUUUACGUAGCUCCUUCGACGAGUCGAGUUGUUUGGGAAUGCAGCUCUAAAUGGGAGGUAAAUUUCUUCUAAAGCUAAAUACCGGCCAGAGACCGAUAGCGCACAAGUAGAGUGAUCGAAAGAUGAAAAGUACUUUGGAAAGAGAGUUAAAAAGCACGUGAAAUUGUUGAAAGGGAAGCGCCUGCAACCAGACUUCGUGGCAGUGUUCCGCCGGUCUUCUGACCGGUUCAUUCUCUGUCGCGAGGCCAUCAUCGUCUGGGCCCGCCGGAUAAGACCUGAGGAAUGUGGCUCCCCCUCGGGGGAGUGUUAUAGCCUCUGGUGAUGCGGCGAGGCUCGGGCGAGGUCCGCGCUUCGGCAAGGAUGAUGGCGUAAUGGUUGUCGGCGGCCCGUCUUGAAACACGGACCAAGGAGUCUAACAUCUAUGCGAGUGUUCGGGUGUCAAACCCCUACGCGUAAUGAAAGUGAACGGAGGUGGGAACCGCAAGGUGCACCAUCGACCGAUCCUGAUGUCCUCGGAUGGAUUUGAGUAAGAGCAUAGCUGUUGGGACCCGAAAGAUGGUGAACUAUGCCUGAAUAGGGUGAAGCCAGAGGAAACUCUGGUGGAGGCUCGCAGCGGUUCUGACGUGCAAAUCGAUCGUCAAAUUUGGGUAUA